rnacentral:lncRNA from 1 species
GCGCAGGCGCCGAGAGGCGCGCAGGAGACCUCAGGCCCAGGCUCCACUCCCCAGCUGUGAAAGGACUGCUGUCCAGACCCCCAAGCUAGCCCGCCAGGCCUCCAUAGAGCUGCCCAGCAUGGCUGCGUCCAGUACCAAAAGUUGGUGGGAGACGGGUGAGGUACAGGCUCAGUCUGCAGCCAAGACUCCGUCCUGCAAGAUGGACUCUGUGACUACAUGACUAAUAAAAUAUGGCAGAAAUGACACCAUGCAGUUUCCAAGCCCAGGCCUUAGGAGACAGGCAGCUUCCAGUUCAGUCUUUUGGAGGGUCAGCUCUGGGGCCCUCAGCCAUCACGCAUGGAGUCCAACCACCCUGAGACGUCAUGCUGGAGACCCACCUGUGAAUGCCCCAGUCAAGAGUCCUGGCUGAGCCCAGCCUCCCAGCCACCCCCACCCAAGGCACCAGACCACGGAGCUUCUGGCCAAGGCUUCACCAACUUCACUUGAUGCUGUGAGGAACAGAACUGCCCAUCCAAGCCCUGCCAGAAUUUCUAACCCACAAAGCCAUGAGUCACAAUAAAUGCCAUGGGACAAAAACAGUCAUGCAUGUUGCUUUUGUCAUACAUUAGUGGUAGUUCAUUGCACGGCAAUAGAAAACCAAAAUAUCUGUCUACUGGGUUCGUCCAUUUGGAUGCCACAGAGGCACCUGAAACAGAACACGUUCAUUACUUAACUCUGGUUCUUCCUUCCACACUGACCUCCACCCACUGCUCCCAAGGUUGCCCCUCCUCCAGAGUCCUCCAUCUCCAACAUAGUAUCACCAUCUCCCCAGGAACCCAAGUGUGAAGUCAGGGGUCAUGUUUGGCAUCUGUCACCCUUUGCGAGUUGCAACCUGGAGACCCUGGAGGGUGUUAUGAUGAGUGAAAUAACCUAAUCACAAAAGGACUAAUACUCCACAAAUUCACUUAUAUGAGGAGUCUAGGAGUCAAAUUCCUAGAGACUGAAAGAAUGGUGGUUGUCAGGGGCUGGGGAGAAUGGGGAGUUCAUAUUUAAUGGGGGCAGAGUUUCAGUUUUGCCAGACGAGAAUAACCUGGAAAUGGAUGGUGUGAUGUUUGCACAAUGUGAACGUACUUUACUCCACUAUACACUUGAAAGUGGGUGCAAUGGGAAAGUUUAUGUGAUGAGUUUUUUACCACAAUUAAAAAUAUAACAAAA